rnacentral:rRNA from 1 species
GAUGAACGCUGGCGGCGUGCCUAAUACAUGCAAGUCGAGCGAACGGACGAGAAGCUUGCUUCUCUGAUGUUAGCGGCGGACGGGUGAGUAACACGUGGAUAACCUACCUAUAAGACUGGGAUAACUUCGGGAAACCGGAGCUAAUACCGGAUAAUAUUUUGAACCGCAUGGUUCAAAAGUGAAAGACGGUCUUGCUGUCACUUAUAGAUGGAUCCGCGCUGCAUUAGCUAGUUGGUAAGGUAACGGCUUACCAAGGCAACGAUGCAUAGCCGACCUGAGAGGGUGAUCGGCCACACUGGAACUGAGACACGGUCCAGACUCCUACGGGAGGCAGCAGUAGGGAAUCUUCCGCAAUGGGCGAAAGCCUGACGGAGCAACGCCGCGUGAGUGAUGAAGGUCUUCGGAUCGUAAAACCCUGUUAUUAGAGAAGAACAUAUGUGUAAGUAACUGUGCACAUCUUGACGGUACCUAAUCAGAAAGCCACGGCUAACUACGUG